UUACUACUUUCAAUAAACGAAAACUGU
rnacentral:sRNA from 1 species